rnacentral:misc_RNA from 1 species
GUGAAUCAUCAAAUCUUUGAACGCAAAUUGCACUCUCUGGGAUGCCGGAGAGUAUGCCUGUUUGAGGCUCAGUUUAAAUAAAAAUCGGGGUGUUUGCUGCCUUUCGUGGUGACGCACCGGAUUUGGGUCGUCUUGCUUUCGGUUAAGUGACCUAAAUUUUUUCAUGAUUUUUUCGAACGUAUUUAAAUGAUUUUACUUACGUUUUCGAGAUCGAAUACUAUGUGUGGUCAUCCUCAUGAUUCGCGCCUAUAAUUUUUCAUCAAAAUAACCUCAAAUCAGGUAAGAGUACCCGC